ACUCCUACGGGAGGCAGCAGUGGGGAAUAUUGCACAAUGGGCGCAAGCCUGAUGCAGCCAUGCCGCGUGUAUGAAGAAGGCCUUCGGGUUGUAAAGUACUUUCAGCAGUGAGGAAGGUGGGUAUGUUAAUAGCAUACACAUUUGACUGUUAGCUGCAGAAGAAGACACCGGCGUAACUCCGUGCCAGCAGCCGCGGUAAUACGGAGGGUGCGAGCGUUAAUCGGAAUUACUGGGCGUAAAGCGCAUGCAGGUGGUUUGUUAAGUCAGAUGUGAAAGCCCGGGGCUCAACCUCGGAAUUGCAUUUGAAACUUGGACAAACGUAGAGUACUGUAGAGGGGGGUAGAAUUGGCAGGUAGUUAGCGGUGAAAGUGCAGUAGAGAUCUGAAGGAAAU
rnacentral:rRNA from 1 species